rnacentral:rRNA from 1 species
GACGAACGCUGGCGGCGUGCUUAACACAUGCAAGUCGAACGGUGAAGCGAGAGCUUGCUCUCGUGGAUCAGUGGCGAACGGGUGAGUAACACGUGAGCAAUCUGCCCCGGACUCUGGGAUAAGCGCUGGAAACGGCGUCUAAUACCGGAUAUGUCGAGUGACCGCAUGGUCUGCUCGUGGAAAGUUUUUCGGUUCGGGAUGAGCUCGCGGCCUAUCAGCUUGUUGGUGAGGUAAUGGCUCACCAAGGCGACGACGGGUAGCCGGCCGGAGAGGGUGACCGGCCACACUGGGACUGAGACACGGCCAAGACUCCUACGGGAGGCAGCAGUGGGGAAUAUUGCACAAUGGGCGCAAGCCUGAUGCAGCAACGCCGCGUGAGGGAUGACGGCCUUCGGGUUGUAAACCUCUUUUAGCAGGGAAGAAGCGAAAGUGACGGUACCUGCAGAAAAAGCACCGGCUAACUACGUGCCAGCCGCCGCAGUAA